rnacentral:tRNA from 1 species
GGUUGUGGCUCAGUGUAGAGCACUUGCCUAGCAUGUGUGAGGCACUGGGUUCGAUCCCUGGAACCA